rnacentral:rRNA from 1 species
GAUGAACGCUGGCGGCGUGCCUAAUACAUGCAAGUCGAGCGAACAGACGAGGAGCUUGCUCCUCUGACGUUAGCGGCGGACGGGUGAGUAACACGUGGAUAACCUACCUAUAAGACUGGGAUAACUUCGGGAAACCGGAGCUAAUACCGGAUAAUAUAUUGAACCGCAUUGUUCAAUAGUGAAAGACGGUUUUGCUGUCACUUAUAGAUGGAUCCGCGCCGCAUUAGCUAGUUGGUAAGGUAACGGCUUACCAAGGCAACGAUGCGUAGCCGACCUGAGAGGGUGAGCGGCCACACUGGAACUGAGACACGGUCCAGACUACUACGGGAGGCAGCAGUAGGGAAUCUUCCGCAAUGGGCGAAAGCCUGACGGAGCAACGCCGCGUGAGUGAUGAAGGUCUUCGGAUCGUAAAACUCUGUUAUUAGGGAAGAACAAAUGUGUAAGUAACUAUGCACGUCUUGACGGUACCUAAUCAGAAAGCCACGGCUAACUACGUG